AUUGAACGCUGGCGGCAUGCUUUACACAUGCAAGUCGAACGGUAACAUAAGAAAGCUUGCUUUCUUGAUGACGAGUGGCGAACGGGUGAGUAAUACAUCGGAACGUACCCUGUAGUGGGGGAUAACUACUCGAAAGAGUGGCUAAUACCGCAUACAACCUGAGGGUAAAAGUGGGGGACCGCAAGGCCUCACGCUAUAGGAGCGGCCGAUGGAAGAUUAGGUAGUUGGUGGGGUAAAGGCCUACCAAGCCGACGAUCUUUAGCGGGUCCGUGAGGAGGAUCCGCCACACUGGGAAUGCGACACGGCCCAUACUCCUACGGGAGGCAGCAGUGGGGACUUUUGGACGAUGGGCGGGUGCCUGAUCCAGCAAUGCCGCGUGAGUGAAGAAGGCCUUCGGGUUGUAAAGCUCUUUUGUUUGGGAAGAAAUCCUUAAGGCUAAUAUCCUUGGGGGAUGACGGUACCAAAAGAAUAAGCACCGGCUAACUACGUGCCAGCAGCCGCCGCCG
rnacentral:rRNA from 1 species